rnacentral:ncRNA from 1 species
UUGAACAAGUCCUUUACCGAAGGAUCUUCGUCCAACAAUGAGUGCUCGAUCAUGGUCUUGUAAUGCACCAGCAACAAUUUCUGAUGCAGAUGCGGAACCUUCAUCAAUUAAAAUAAUUAAGGAGCCUUUUUUAAAGGUCCCCCUUCUGGUAGAUCGAUGCGAAUUAUUGAAUCGAUUUUGUUUUCCUUUAGUAUAAACAAUCAUUUUAUUUUCUUCUAUAAAUUCAUCAACAAUCGAGAUUGCUCGAUCCAUAUAGCCUCCAGGAUUA